GGUUUCCGUAUCGGUUCUCAGCUUCCUCGAGGGUUGCUUCAAAAUUACGAUGAGAGCUUGGUAGAGCGAUUCUCUCUGCGACCAAUUUGGCAUCCGGCCAUUUCAAUAACGCAUGAAUUGCAUAUAGUCAUCAGAUAGCAAUUUAGAACCCUUCGCCUGCGCUUAAACUUUUCCCGACAUUUUCGAUCGAUUGGAACUCCGAGAUGCGGGAUGGCAGCCGAAGGCCUCUUCGAUUUCGCCUCUUCGAGACGUUCUCGCGGGGCCACCUCUGCUUCCUCGAUUCCCGUAGCUUCCAGAGAAAGGUCGUUGAUCGAUCCGAUCGAUCCAUUCCUCUGCGCUUGCGGCACGCUCGUAGCCGAGUUCUUGGCGUCUAUUUGGGUUACAAGUUGGAGACGUUCGAUGUCCUAGGAUUUCAAGAAUCGCGAGAUCGACGGCCUUCUGCUGGGAUCUCGGGGCCGUGAAAGAUGAUCUUGCCUUGAGAUAAUAAGGGAGCAUGAGUUUCUUCAGGACAGGUUACCUCGAAAGCAUUUUAAAGAAAGGAAAACAAAAUUACUAAUCCUUACAGCUCAAUGCUUGUUGAGAACUGGUCGGUCCACAGGUGUUAGAUAUAAGGGCCUAAGAGAUUUGAUCCUGUGUAUGCUUUGCUUGAAAGACGGAACUGCUUUUGAUGAUAAGUUCAAUUUUAUGACUGACAAUAGAAUGGCGGCAUCAAACAUACGGUAAAUAUGGAAUUAUAAAUUGUAGAUUAACUUAAUAUUGCGUCUUUAUUCUUGUUUCAUUUGUCAGUUGGAAUAAGCUUCUCUCCUGAUUCAGUUGACUGCUUCUAUCAGUAUAAUGAUAUCCUAAUGUUGAAUGUGUUAACAACACUCAUCUACUAGUUUUGGAGGUUCACACAAUAACUUGUAGAUUGUCCAAUAAAAAAUAUCGUAUUUUUAUAAACAACUGCUUUCAUUUUUGGGUUGUCUUAUGAGAAAGUGACUUAUCAUGUAUAUUUAAUAUUGUCAUGAAUCUUUGACUUGUGAAAUUAUUGCCAAAAGAUUACUACAUUCUGCGAGGAUUUCUGCGUGAUAAGAAGCUCGAGUCUUAUAAGAUAGCAUUUUCCUUACCACACAAAAGGAAGGGCACAUUCUGGCUUGCACAAAGUGAAAAUGUGAGGAGCUAGAUACUCCACGUACCUAAAGGGUGACUUUAUUCUAUCUGAUCUCCUCUACAGAAGAAAACAGUGAUUCACUAAUAUGCAGUCAUGUCAAAAGUGACAAUCUGUUCUGAGCUCAUGUUGGAUAGAAUCUAGGCACUUUCUCAUCUGGUUCUUCCAUCCAACCAGGAUAGAACUGUCUUCAGCUCUUGUGGUUCUUCUGUCUACACUAGGCGAGAUGUUUGUCAGUUCAUCUCAUGACUCAUGGGUUACAAGCUGAUCUACCUCUUCAACGAGACAGUUGCUUUUAGAUCAUAUAAAGAUACGAGAGCAACAUUCUGUUCUGCGCUAUUGUUGGAUAGAAUCUAGGUGCUUUUUCAUCUGGUUCUUCCAUCUAACCAGGAAAGAAUUGCCUCUGGUUUUCAGCUAUUGUGGUUUCUGUCUACUCCACGAGAGAUGUUUGACGGUUCAUCUUAUUUCUCAUGGAUUACAAGCCAAUCUACCUCUUCAACAUGAAACGGUUGCUUUUGUGAUGAUCAUAUAAAGACAUGAGAGCAAGAUGGGACAAAUUGUGUUGGCCCAAACUCCAAAGAAUGGUGGAAUUGUUGCCCUUUUGAUUGUUUCCCCCUGUUGUUUUCUGCACUUGAAGUGCCUUCCUGCUGCAUCUGGUUUCCAAUACUGUAUUGCAUUCAUGUGUUUUUAAGACAAACAUUACUCUUAUUGAUUUUGUUUUUAUGAAAACCUUUAUGUAAACCAUAUGCUACAAUUCAUAGAUCGUUAGAUUUAUGGAUUAAUUUUCUCUUUUCAUCUAA